CAGUUAAAUUUGAAUUUCAAAUAAAUAACACCUCAUGCUUUAGUGUAAGUAUAUCCCGUCCAAUAUUUGGGAUAUACUUAUACUAAAAAUUGUUGUUUCUUUAAAAUUUA
rnacentral:miRNA from 1 species